AUUGAACGCUGGCGGAAUGCUUUACACAUGCAAGUCGAACGGCAGCACGGGUGCUUGCACCUGGUGGCGAGUGGCGAACGGGUGAGUAAUACAUCGGAACGUACCCUGACGUGGGGGAUAACGUAGCGAAAGUUACGCUAAUACCGCAUACGUCCUGAGGGAGAAAGCAGGGGAUCGUAAGACCUUGCGCGUUAGGAGCGGCCGAUGGCGGAUUAGCUAGGUUGGUAGGGUAAAGGCCCACCAAGGCGACGAGCCGUACCGGGUCUGAGAGGAAGACCCGCAAAACUGGAACAGAGACACGGUCCAGACUCCUACGGGAGGCAGCAGUGGGGAAUUUUGGACAAUGGGCGAAAGCCUGAUCCAGCCAUUCCGCGUGAGUGAAGAAGGCCUUCGGGUUGUAAAGCUCUUUCGGCAGGGAAGAAACGGUUUUGGAUAAUACCCAGAACUAAUGACGGUACCUGAAGAAGAAGCACCGGCUAACUACGUGCCAGCCGCCGCCGUAA
rnacentral:rRNA from 1 species